CUCGCCGCUGCGGCUGCAAUAAGAGAAGUCCGAGGCGGCUUCCUCCUCUCUGCCCUGAGGGGGCGGCGGUCAGAGGCCACAGCCCCUCCGUUACCCCCCACCCCUUAGACACUCAGGCUGCCGGGAGCCCCGCGCACUCACCUGGGGUCCGUCGGAAGCGGCCUCAGCUGGAACCAGGUCUCUGGCCCCUCCCAAGGACCAUGCUGCAGCCCCACUGACAGAGGAGUAGGGGCCUGAGGGGGCACCUGGAAUGGGCU